UGCCCUGCCCUGCGGGGAGGGGCAGGCAGUGCCUAGGAGCUGCUGCGGGGGCACCAUCUGGACCCGGGCCUGGCACCGUCACUCCACAAAAAUCGUGAGCGGGGCCCUUCCCUUCCCAGGGAGAGAGGAGCGGGGGGUUUGGAGAGUCUCCCAGACAGGAGGGCGGGUGGAAUGUAGGUCAACUCCUGGCUGCCGGAAAGAGUGAUGUCAUCCACUCCUUGGGGGGAACGAUGGAGGAAGCGAACUGGGUGGGGCUCAGUCCCCUGUCCGCUGUUGGUGGCAGUACUCUCCUCCGAAGUCCCUUUGGCUACACCUACUAUGAGCUGAGCUUCUCAUUCCUGCAUGACUGUUGACUGAUGAAGGGACAGAGGACAGAGCUGGAGAUGAAGCUGAGGAGUUCCACUCGGCCCCCAGGUGGGGAAACUGAGGCCUGGAGAAAUGGAAGAGACUUGCCAGAAAAGAGCAAAUGGAAAGAGCUGGAAUCUCAGGCAGUCUGCUCGCUGGCCCCGUGAUCUGCCACUCUUUACUCAGGACAAAGGGACUCCUGUGAGUCACCAGGGUGGGCCACCCUGGGUUGGCAGGAUGGACAUGGAGUCUCUAGAAGGUGUUAGAAGCAGGGUUUCUGACCUAAAUAUGAAAUCAGUCAGCCUUUCCUCCUUACGCAUGCUGGUGGGCCCUCUGUCCUGUCAGCUCUCCGCCCACCCCAAUCACUUCCUCAGCUCCUGUCCCCAGUGUCCCUCCCGCCCUCCCCGCAGCUAUCUUCAGUCCUGGUGGAUUCUUCCCAUCCCAACGCCAACGCUGCCGCGCCUCCCGCCUUUCAGAAAGAACCCUCUCCCCUCCCCAUUCCCCCAGCAGCUCACACCCCAUCUCCCUGCUCCCCUUCCGAGCCAAAUGUUUUCAAAGCUUGCCUACACCCCCUCUUUUUCACCUCUUAUUCACUCUUUUAAAAGUGUUGGCAUUCGCCCCUGAAACCACCCCACGACGGCCUUCAUCCCGGGCUCUGCUCUGGGUACCUCUGCUGUGACCCCCAUCUUCCCAGGUCCAUGGGCCCACGCUGGCUCCUCCACUUGGCCCCUGGGCGGCACGGACACAGGUGGCCGCUGCCCUGGAGGCACGGCUCUCGCGUGGUUUUGGGGCACCGCCCUGCCAGAUCCCCCUCUCUCUGAUCUCAGGGCUGCAGACCGCCCGGCUCCCCGGCUCUCCUCUCGGAAGUCUCGCACGCCCCCACGGCGGGCGUCAUCGGCACGGCGGAGCUAAGGACUCCCUGCGCCCAGUCUCGCCUGCGCUUCACACUCAAAAGGCCCAAAUGCUCCGGAUGCCUCCAAAACGCUCACAACCAACAGGUCCAAAAUAGAAGUCAGGCUUCCUCCAGUGCACAGCCGCGCUGGAAGACGGCCUGGCAGUUUCUUACAGAGUUAAACACGCUCACCAGACGACCCAGCCGUCCACACCUGGGUGCUUACCCAAGAGAAGCGAAAACUUAUGUUCACCCAAAAACCUUGCCACCAAUGUUUAUAGCAGCUCUAUUCAUAAUCACCCCAGAGUGGGAGCCACCGAGACGUCCUUCCACGGAGACUGGGUAAACAGACCACGAUGUGCCGCGCACACAGCACAGUCCUACUCACGAGUGACGAACCUAAGCCACGCGGGUGGCCACGCCAUGAGCCUCAGAGGCAUGUCCAGGACAAAGGAGACCCCUUGAAAAAACCACCUGCCGCACGACUCCACUUACAGGAGAUUUUCAGAAAAGAUGGGGAGCAGAUUGAGGACUUCCAGGGGUUUCAGGACGGGGACCGUGGGUGGCUCAAAGGGUAGCAUAGGGAGUUUUUGGAGACACAGGCUGUGGUGGACCCAGGCUGUGGUGGCAGUUACAUGAAGCUAUCCACGUGCUAAAAUCCCUAGAACUGUACCCCCCAAAGGUCCAUUUUGCUAUAUGAAAUAUAAAAAUAAAAAAAUUAAGAAA